CUUACCUUGGGGAAGCCUGUGUCAAGGUUCAUGUAGACUGGACACGGCUCUCCUUCGCGAGAUAUUCUUGGAGUCAUUGCAUUUGUGCUGUUGAUCCUGGGAGCUGGGCUAUACCUCUGGAAGAAAUGUGGGAAGAAGAAGAAGAAGAAAGAUGAAGAGGAAGAAGAGGAAGAGGAGCAGAAGGAGGAGGAGGAGCGGGAGGAGACAGGAAUAGGCAGGUUGCAUUUCUCCAUCGAGGCCCAGAUAUCUCCCCUCCCCCACUAGAAUCUGGGUUCUCUUUCUCCUGAAAGAAUGUCAUUGUUUAGCUAUAUGAAUAACCCUAGAUAUAGCAUCGAGUUAACAUGUCCAAGAUAUUUGUUACUGGAAAAAACUGAACAGCAAUGCAUGGUAUGAUUUAAUUUUUGUAAAAGUGUAUAGAUAGGUAGAUAGAAAGAUAAGCACAGAAUAAAAUCUAUACUACAUGACAGAUUA
rnacentral:lncRNA from 10 species